rnacentral:lncRNA from 1 species
UUCUCCCGUUCCGUGUCAACACUGGGAUUGAGGAAGCCGUGGUCCUGGGUGACAGUGAAUGUUUGCCGUAGCCUUUCUGUAGAGAGAAGUCUUGUCUGGACCCAAGGUCUCCGGACCUGUGGCUCACACUGCUCAGCUUUGUGUGACAUCGGGAGCUUCCAGGUGACCUGGUGUCUGUCCUGUGGGGACGAUUCUAGAACCCGGUGAGUCUGAGUAGGAUCCCUGUGACAUCUCCUCAGCCUGGUUACCACCACUGGCUCUCACCUGUGUACACAUCUUCCUCUCUUACCAAGCCAAGGAAGAAAGACUUCCCAGUCUCCUGCAGUGACAGAUGAGUUUGCUCCUGGCAGAGAGAGACACGGCUAUUAUUUAUUUUCCUGGCUAAUGAUUUUAUUUGUUUGAUUCAUUUAUUUCACUUUAUUUAUUUAUUUAUUUAUUCAUUUUUUUAAAAAAAAUUACUUAUUUAUUAUAUGUAAAUACACUGUAGCUGUCUUCAGACAUGCCAGAAGAGGGCAUCAGAUCUCAUUGCGGAUGGUUGUGAGCCACCAUGUGGUUGCUGGAAUUUAAACUCAGGACCUUCCAAAGAGCAGUCAUCUCUCCAGCCCAUUAUUUAUUCAUUGCUAAAUGAAUUUCAAAGUAACUGUAUCGGGCUCCAUCAUGGCAUUCCCUCACUCCCUCUUCUUCCCAUCCCCCCCUUAGUCUGGUCUAACCCAGGGGUCCCCUUUCCUCACUCAUAAAGCUGUACAUAGUAUGUGCUCUGCUCUCCUUCUCGCCUGCCCUCGCCCUCCAAGCCUCACUUUGCGCUCA